AGAGUUUGAUCAUGGCUCAGAUUGAACGCUGGCGGAAUGCUUUACACAUGCAAGUCGAACGAUGAACCCUAGCUUGCUAGGGGGAUUAGUGGCGAACGGGUGAGUAAUAUAUCGGAACGUGCCUUGUAAUGGGGGAUAACUAGUCGAAAGAUUAGCUAAUACCGCAUACGCCCUGAGGGGGAAAGUAGGGGAUCUUCGGACCUUACGUUAUAAGAGCGGCCGAUAUCUGAUUAGCUAGUUGGUGGGGUAAUGGCCUACCAAGGCUUCGAUCAGUAGCUGGUCUGAGAGGACGACCAGCCACACUGGAACUGAGACACGGUCCAGACUCCUACGGGAGGCAGCAGUGGGGAAUUUUGGACAAUGGGCGCAAGCCUGAUCCAGCCAUUCCGCGUGAGUGAAGAAGGCCUUCGGGUUGUAAAGCUCUUUCGCAAGGGAAGAAAACUUACAUUCUAAUAAAGUGUGAGGCUGACGGUACCUUGAUAAGAAGCACCGGCUAACUACGUGCCAGCAGCCGCGGUAAUACGUAGGGUGCGAGCGUUAAUCGGAAUUACUGGGCGUAAAGCGUGCGCAGGCGGUUUGGCAAGUCAGAUGUGAAAUCCCCGAGCUCAACUUGGGAACUGCGUUUGAAACUGCCAGACUAGAAUAUGUCAGAGGGGGGUAGAAUUCCACGUGUAGCAGUGAAAUGCGUAGAGAUGUGGAGGAA
rnacentral:rRNA from 1 species